ACGGCUCAGUAACACGUGGCUAACCUGCCCUUGGGACAAGAACACCCCCGGGAAACUGGGGCUAAUUCUUGAUAGGUGAAGAACUCUGGAAUGAGUCUUCGCCCAAAAGACGUUGGGGUUAUGCUCUCCAGCGCCGCCCAAGGAUGGGGCCGCGGCCGAUCAGGUUGUUGGUGAGGUAAUGGCUCACCAAGCCUUUUACCGGUGCGGGCCGUGAGAGCGGGAGCCCGGAGAUGGGCACUGAGACAAGGGCCCAGGCCCUACGGGGCGCAGCAGUCGCGAAAACUUUGCAAUAAGCGAAAGCUUGACAGGGCUAUCCCGAGUGCCAUCCGCUGAGGAAGGCUUUUACCCAGUCUAGAACGCUGGGGGAAUAAGGAGAGGGCAAGUCUGGUGUCAGCCGCCGCGGUAAUACCAGCUCUCCGAGUGGUGUGGAUGUUUAUUGGGCCUAAAGCAUCCGUAGCUGGCUAGGUUAGUCCCCUGUUAAAUCCACCGAAUUAAUCGUUGGAUUGCGGGGGAUACUGCUUGGCUAGGGGACGAGAGAGGCAGACGGUAUUUCCGGGGUAGGGGUGAAAUCCUAUAAUCCCGGGAAGACCACCAGUGGCGAAGGCUGUCUGCUAGAACGCGCCCGACGGUGAGGGAUGAAAGCUGGGGGAGCGAACCGGAUUAGAUACCCGGGUAGUCCCAGCUGUAAACGAUGCAGACUAGGUGUUUGGACGGCCACGUGCCGUUCUAGUGCCGCAGGGAAGCUGUUAAGUCUGCCGCCUGGGGAGUACGAUCGCAAGAUUGAAACUUAAAGGAAUUGGCGGGGGAGCAC
rnacentral:rRNA from 1 species